UACGUAGGGGGCAAGCGUUGUCCGGAAUCAUUGGGCGUAAAGCGCGUGUAGGCGGCCCGAUAAGUCCGCCGUGAAAGCCCAGGGCUCAACCCUGGGAUGCCGGUGGAUACUGUCGGGCUAGAAUCCGGAAGAGGCGAGUGGAAUUCCUGGUGUAGCGGUGAAAUGCGCAGAUAUCAGGAGGAACACCGAUGGCGAAGGCAGCUCGCUGGGACGGUAUUGACGCUGAGACGCGAAAGCGUGGGGAGCAAACAGG
rnacentral:rRNA from 1 species